rnacentral:rRNA from 1 species
UACGGGAGGAUCCAAGCGUUAUCCGGAAUCAUUGGGUUUAAAGGGUCCGUAGGCGGUUUAAUAAGUCAGUGGUGAAAGCCCAUCGCUCAACGGUGGAACGGCCAUUGAUACUGUUAGACUUGAAUUAUUAGGAAGUAACUAGAAUAUGUAGUGUAGCGGUGAAAUGCUUAGAGAUUACAUGGAAUACCAAUUGCGAAGGCAGGUUACUACUAAUGGAUUGACGCUGAUGGACGAAAGCGUGGGGAGCAAACAGG